GAGAGUAAUGGCACCUAUCUUUCCUUUUACAAUACUGGAGGUGGUCCACACCCGUCCCAGCAGCCACAGUGGGAGCCUCCAACUGCAGGUGUUUCUAGGCAGCCAUCUUGCCCCCGCCCCGCCUCGAGUGAUCCUGGGACUCCUUGAGAAGACAGCCCUGAAUUGAGCAAAUCCAUCUCCCUCUUCUUAGAUACCUGCCCAUGAGAAACUGCCCUGUCAUUAGUUGUCUCAAGUCCCAGCUUGCCUUCAGAAUACUGUGGAGCCGCCCACAUUGAAAGGAAGUGAAGCAAAAGAAAACUCUUCAGACUUGAAAGUCAAGAGUAAUGCAACAGUAUGAUGAUUCUGGGAUUAUUUUCAUAAGGAACUGGCUGACUGAGCAUCCUGGUUCCAGGCUUCACAUUGUAGCUUCUUUUGUCUGUCAGCUUGUUUGAAAGGGCUGUGGUGAAAUUUUUAAUAGUUGUUUUUAAAAUCUUGUUUAUAAUGACCUUGCAGAAACUGGAAACUUUUCUUUGUACCAGUUUUGUCCUUUUCUAUUUUGCAAAGAGCGCUUUCUGUAUUUCCAAUGGAACUUUUAAAUUUUAAAAAAAUACUAUAUUGACAAUUUUGGUAGGAAUGAAUACCUAGUUUUUGAUUCAAUGCUCAUCCAUUAUUUACUGAGGACUUGUCAAUCCACUUUGCUUGUAGUUAAGUGACAAUUGUGUUCAAUGGAGGCACAGAGUGGUGAGGCUGUGGUACUGGUUUACUUAUCAGAAAACAUGGUCUAUUAAUGCAAAGGAAGAUAUUGCUCAAAAAAGGAGGGUCUCUGAGAGAUGUGUAAGCUUGAGGCCAACUCCCUAAUUUGAAUCUUUGAAUGAUUUUUAAGGAGGAUUGUCUCAAAAAAGUUUAAAUAACUCUUCAGGGUAUACAGAUAGAAAGUAGAUUGUGAAGGCCUUUGGGGUCAUAUAAUCAAGAGUUUAGUUUUUGCAUCAUACUAAUGUAGAGAAGUUCAUUCACUUUGAGAACUUCAUUGAUCUCCGAGUCUGUUGGGCCUACCAUAGUUUGUGCCUUAGAAUUUUUCAGAUAUUUCUGAGGUCAAGUUUACACAGAAAAUCCCAUAUAGUAUUGAUGAGAAGUAGAUGUCAUUGUAUUAGAGGAGAGAUGUGUAUCAAGGCUAGUUGGUAGAACUGGGAUAUAUCAAAAUAAAACUAUAGCUUAAGGGUUAAAAGCCACAUUUGGAUGAGGUAGACGGUCUUAUGAAAGACAUUAAAGCUGGGUUCUCAAUUUUAGUUUCACGUUGAAUUAAUACUCAAGUAUAUCGGGCUGGGGAUUUUGAGUGGAAGUACCUUUAGGAAUAAAGUAAGUCUGGCCAGUGAGAUAUAGAGAAAGUGUUCUGCCCUGUUUCUGCGUACUUGUAACCUGAGAAUGAGAUAAGGUUUCUGCAAAGAUUUAACUGUUCCUGCAUUACACUGGCUUGGCAUUUUCUUUUGUUAAUCGUAUUAUGGAGAGAUAAUAAUUAUAUAAAUACAUGGGUUAAUAUUCAGGAAAGAUGCAAAAACCUGAUUAGGUUAGCUCCACCUUGAGGGAAAUUUGGCAAAAGUGACUGAAAGGGAGAAAGAUGAAAAAUUAUAGGUGAUGGGCCUGUGUUGUAUGUUAUAGGAUUCAUUGAGUCUGUGGGUUCAAGUGCUUCUGGGUACUGUGCCUUCUGCUUAUUUCACCCACUACUGGGUUGCAACCAAUAUACCAAAUCAGCACUUGCAAAUCUGCUGGCCUCACUGGUUCUAGCUGUAUGCAUUAUUUCCUGGAAGGGGCUUCAUAUAGGAAAGGAAGUUCAUUCUCUUGGUAAGUUGGCUUCUGACUAGAGUCCUUAUAGCUGCCUACUGCUUAGAUUGAGCUGCUUGUCCCUUGUCAUUAUCCAGGAGAGUUGAACCUAGAGGAGAGUAGAGGGAAGAAGAGUAAAUUUCUGUUAGAAGAAGCUAACACCUAUAAAAUGUGUAUUAGAGAGAUAGGUCUGGAUUAGAGCCCUAGCUCUGCUUUUUAGCAAUGAUGUGACCUUGGGCAAGUUAAUUUACUGAAACCAGUUGCUUUACCUUUAAAAUUAUAAUAUUAUCUAAUAUUUAUAUAUUCUGUGUUCAAGGCACUGUGUUAAGCACUUGCCAAAUGUUAUUAACAUAAGAUAAAGAUUAUUAUUUUUCCCAUUUACAGAUGAAAAAGAAAAAUGUUGGAGAAGUUAAAUAACUUGUACCUGGUCAUGCUGCUAGUGGGUAUUAGAGUUCAGAGCCUGGAUUUGGACCCAGGUGCUUGGACUCUGAUGUGUAUUCUACUGACCACCACAGUAUACGUCAUGGGAUUGUUGUUUACAAGCUUAUGUCUUAAAAUGUACAGAUAUGCAAAUGGUCUAAAGCAUGUAGCCCAGUAUAUAACACACAGUAAACACACAAUCUUUAUUAACCAUUAUUACUAUUGCAAAUCAAGUGCUAUAUAUAUUUUAAUGUACACAACCUCUAUCCUAAAAUUAGAAUUGUUAGAUUGGGAAACUAGGAGUCAGAUGGGUUAAGUUCAUAUAGCUGGUAAGAGAUUUAACCUGUGAUUUAAACCAGGUUUUUCUGACUCUAGAGACCAUGUACUUUCUCCUCUACCAGUAGUUUGUGACAUGUAGUAUGGAGAUUUCUGAGGACUCAGAAUUAGUAAGAAGGCUCUACACAUCUACGGUUAUGCUAAGCAUUGUUGUAGACAGAAAGUAUAAUCUAUGUCACAUGUAUAUGUACUAUUUUAGAUGUAUGGUUUGAUUAACACACAGAAAUCUAUUCUUGUAAUUAAGAAAAUGUAGCUUCAUUAAUAGGACUAUUAAUCCAUGAUGUAUUCUUGUCACUAUAUAUUUUUCUCAGUGUUCAAAUACCAAAAUUACAGUUACUUUUAAGUGGAAAUGCAUAGAUAUUUUUGAAGUUAAAAGAAUCUUUAUAUUUGGAAAGUUUUAGAUGUAAUAAACCACAUGAGUUCAUAAUCCUCCAUGAUUAUAGGACUAUGUCUAUCAUACAUGAACUGGCUUGUACAUAUUUCCUAUUGUAAGUGAAAGAGUCUUAGAGUGAGGUAACUAUAGCAUGCUGCACAGACACAGUGGGAGAAGGAACGGAAAGCUCUAUUGGGUGUUUCGUUCAUGGAUUCACACCAUAAAUACCUUACAAUAGUUUUAAUGGAGAAAGAAACACCCAGAGGAAAUUAAAAAGCAACAGUUUUGGCUAUGAAAAUGUGAAUACCUAAAUUGCUAAAGCCUUUUGUAGGAUUUGAGAAGUGUGAUUUAUAUUAAAAACAAUGGGAAUCAUAUGGCCCUCACCCAGAGAAAGUGUGUGAGAAUUUCUCCCUCAGGGGUCAGAUGAAUUACAGGCCUUUGAAAAGAGGAAAUUUUGAGUUAAUUUUUCAUUUUAGCAUUACAUUGGGGAUUAUUGAAGGGAAGAAAAUCCGAUUACUGUAUAGGAUGGUAGGCAAGAAAAGAAGCUAAGCAAGUUUUUACUUGUAUCUUCAAUGGUGUGGUGUUUCAUGAAUAAACACUUUGAGAUAUCUA